GACGAACGCUGGCGGCGUGCUUAACACAUGCAAGUCGAACGGUAAGGCCCUUCGGGGUACACGAGUGGCGAACGGGUGAGUAACACGUGGGUGAUCUGCCCUGCACUUCGGGAUAAGCCUGGGAAACUGGGUCUAAUACCGGAUAGGACCACUGCCUGCAUGGGUGGUGGUGGAAAGCUUUUGCGGUGUGGGAUGGGCCCGCGGCCUAUCAGCUUGUGGGUGGGGUGAUGGCCUACCAAGGCGAGGACGGGUAGCCGGCCUGAGAGGGUGACCGGCCACACUGGGACUGAGAUACGGCCCAGACUCCUACGGGGGGCAGCAGUGGGGAAUAUUGCACAAUGGGCGCAGGCCUGAUGAAGCGACGCCGCGUGAGGGAUGACGGCCUUCGGGUUGUAAACCUCUUUCAGCACCGACGAAGCGCAAGUGACGGUAGGUGCAGAAGAAGGACCGGCCAACUACGUGCCAGCCGCCGCCGUAA
rnacentral:rRNA from 1 species